GACGAACGCUGGCGGCGUGCUUAACACAUGCCAGUCGAACGGAAAGGCCCUGCUUGCAGGGUACUCGAGUGGCGAACGGGUGAGUAACACGUGGGUGAUCUGCCCUGCACUUCGGGAUAAGCCUGGGAAACUGGGUCUAAUACCGGAUAGGAGCCAUUUUUAGUGUGAUGGUUGGAAAGUUUUUUCGGUGUAGGAUGAGCUCGCGGCCUAUCAGCUUGUUGGUGGGGUAAUGGCCUACCAAGGCGGCGACGGGUAGCCGGCCUGAGAGGGUGGACGGCCACAUUGGGACUGAGAGACGGCCCAGACUCCUGCGGGAGGCAGCAGUGGGGAAGAUUGCACAAUGGGCGCAAGCCGGAUGCAGCGACGCCGCGUAGGGGAUGACGGCCUUCGGGUUGGAAACUCCUUUCGCUAGGGACGAAGCUUUUUGUGACGGUACCUAGAUAAGAAGCACCGGCUAACUACGUG
rnacentral:rRNA from 1 species